AUACUGAGACUAAGGUAGAAAAAGACACUUCCAAAGGGUGUCAAUGACAAGAGAGAAAUAGACAUAGAGUGGUCACUUCAUUUACCAACCCUGGAACCGCAGACCUCUGGGCUUCCUGAUAAAGAAAAUGGGUACGGCCAAGACCAUAGACCUAGUGAUUGUCAGAUGAACAAUUAGACCCACAGAACCAUCCAAGCUACAGAGGACGCAUUCUGCCUUCCCUUGGAUCCUGUGGUUUGAGGAUGGAGGUCUAGGACCGUGGCAGGCUUUUUGUCCCAUGAGGGAAGGCCAUGGAGCUGAGGAAGGGGAAGAACACACACACCUAAUGGAAUCUCGAGAGAAAGUUCAGACAUCAAAAGACAGAAGCGACAGAGACCCAGGUCUGUGGGGACGCUGUAUGGCUGAGUCAAGUCUUGAUCAAAGUCAGCAUUAUAUCUGGACUUGCACAGUUUCUGAGCCUUGAAACUCCAUUUCGUUUAAGUGAGCUUUUAACUGUCACAGGCAGCUGCAUGCACACACAAGUCCAUGUGAUUAGAUGUUUCCAAGAGUCUGGAAUAACAUACCCCAAACUGUUAAUAGUGGUUACCCUAUAGAAGGGGAGUAGGAAGGUGUGUGUUGGGGUGGAGGAUGGUUUGCCAACUGGAAACUCACUCCAGGCUAACAUUUAUUGCUAGGCACCAUUCUAAACUUUGCCAGUAAUCCUCUCCCUAGAGGCUGAGGAAGACCACUUCUUCAAGCCCUAUUUAAUAGACAGCGUGGCCAGGCAUGGUUGCUCACGCCUGUAAUCCCACCACUUUGGGAGGCCGAGGCAGGUGGAUCACCUGAGGUCAGGAGUUCGAGACCAGCCUGGCCAACGUGGUAAAACCUCUUCUCUACUAAAAAUACAAAAAAAAUUAGCUGGGCUUGGUGGCGGGCACCUGUAGUCCCAGCUACACGGGAGGCUGAGGCAGGAGAAUUGCUUGAAUCCAGGAGGCAGAGGUUGCAGUAAGCCAAGGUCGCACCACUGCACUCCAGCCUGGGUGACAGAGCGAGACUCUGUCUCAAAAAAAAAAAAAAAAAAAAAAAAAAAGAGGAAAGAAAAAUGAAAGAAAGAAAGAAAAAUUAGCUGGGUGUGGUGGCGUACGCCUGUAGUCCCAAGUCCCAGCUACUCGGGAGGCUGAGACAGGAGAAUCGCUUAUCACUGGAGUCCAGGAGGCAGAGAGUGCAGUGAUAUCUCACCAUUGUACUCCAGCCUGGGUGACAGAGAGAGACAUAGUCUCAGAAAACGGAAAAAAAAAAAAAGAGAGAUGGGGAAAUGGAAGAUAUAGGGGUUACAUCACCUGCUCAAAAUUAUGCUGCAAGUAAGUGGUGACACUGGGAUUUGAACUGAGACAGUCUAGCUUCAGGUGGCCGCAUCCUUCCCACUGCAUUCUCCUGCCUCUCUAGCUCCCUCAGUGGGCUGCUGGGUCCCAGGCCUUGGGCUGGCAUGGAUAAUCCCUUCAUGCUCCCCUUGUCACUAAACCCCCCCACCUCACCUGCCAACACACACACAACCACCUGGAGCCCCUGCCAGUGUUUCCUCUUCCUCCCACUUGGCAUGUUGAAGACCAGAAUCACUCCCCUUUCACUCCCCACUUCAUCCCACCUGGGAAAACAGGACCCUGCCGGCCAACUCAGAGCCCCACAGGGUUGCAUUUUAGGUACCGUUUACAUUUUCUUUAAGCCCUGUUCACAUUCUCCAUUCACAUUGGGAAAAAUAUAAAGGGUUAGUAUCCCCAGCAUUGAUGAGGUUCUAAGGCAGAGGGUACGCAGGUGGGACUACAGCGCUUUUUGGGGGACAUUUGGAUAAAAUCCAUCCCAUUGCCGGGCGCAGUGGCUCAUGCCUGUAAUCCCAGCACUUUGUGAGGCUGAGGUGGGCGGAUCGCUUGAGGUCAGGAGUUGGAAACCAGCUGGCCAACGUGACAAAACCCCAUCUCUACUAAAAAUACAAAAAUUAGUUGGGUGUGGUGGCGGGCGCCUGUAAUCCCAGCUACUCAGGAGGCUGAGGCAUGACAAUUGCUUGAACCCGGGAGGCGGAGGUUGCAGUGAACGGAGAUUGUGCCACUGCACUCCAGCCUGGGGGAUACAGUAAGACUCUCUUUUUUGAGAUGCGUUUCUCUCUUUCACCCAGGCUGGAGCGCAGUGGUGCGGAUCUUGGCUCACUGCAACCUCAGCCUCCCAGGUUCAAGCAAUUCUCAUGCCCCAGCCUCCCGAGUAGCUGGGAUUACAGGCACAUGCCACCAUGCCCGGCUAAUUUUUGUAUGUUUAGUAGAGAUGGGGUUUCACCAUGUUGUCCAUCCUGGUCUCAAACUCCCGACCUCAGGUGAUCCACCCGCAUCAACCUCCCUAAGUGCUGGAAUAAUAGGCAUGAGCCACCGUGGUCAGCCGAGAAUGCACAUACUCUCUCCAUUCUUCCUCCAUGCGUACGCCCAUUUCUGCCUUGGUUGCCCACCUCUGACCACAAUCCAGAACUAACCACUCCACUUUUAGGAAAGUAUCCUACAGAAAUAGCUCAACAAGUACACUGGCUACAGCAUUCCUGUAAAUGGUCAGAGGCCAUGGAACUCCAACAGCUGCCAAAAGGAAAAAAGUAGCUCUGGGCCAGGCAUGGCGGCUCACACUUGUAAUCCCAGAGCUUUGGAAGGCCAAGGCAGGAGAAUUGCUUGAGGCUAGGAGUUCGAGACCAGUCUGGGCAACAUAUUGAGAACCUGUCUGUGCAAAAAAAAUUUAAAAAUUAGCGAAGUGUGGUGGUGUGUGCCUAUAGUCCCAGCUACUUGGGAGGCUGAGGUGGGAGGAUCACUUGAGCCCAGGAGUUUGAGGUUACAGCGAGCUGUGAUAGCAUCACUGCACUCCAGCCUGGGUGACAGAGUGAGACCCUGACUCAAAAACAAAAGUAACUCUGACUUAGGAACAGGCACAGAGGAGAUCAUGGUACACUGUUGAUAAAACAAUUUGCAGAAUAAUUUGUAGAAUACGACCCAAGUUUUUUAAAACAAUAAAAACAAAACACACAACAUAAGCAUAUAGAAAAUUGCCUGAGCUUUCCUCAGCUGCUGCCAAGGUGUUCGGUCCUUCCGAGGAAGCUAAGGACACAUUGAGGUGAGGCCCUCACUUCAUCCAGUGACUAGCACUGCGUCCGGCAGCGCCAGUCCCACACUCGCCCGCGCCAUGGCCUCCAUCUCCGAGCUCGCCUGCAUCUACUCAGCCCUCAUUCUGCACGACAAUGAGGUGACUGUCACAGAGUAUAAGAUCAAGGCCCUCAUUAAAGCAGCUGGUGUAAAUGUUGAACCUUUUCGGCCUGGCUUGUUUGCAAAGGCCCCGGCCAAUGUCAACAUUAGGAGCCUCAUCUGCAAUGUAGGGGCUGGAGGACCUGCUCCAGCAGCUGGUGCUGCACCAGCAGGAGGUGAUCCACCCGCAUCAACCUCCCUAAGUGCUGGGAUAAUAGGCAUGAGCCACCGUGGUCAGCCAAGAAUGCGCAUACUCUCUCCAUUCUUCCUCCAUGCGUACGCCCAUUUCUGCCUUGGUUGCCCACCUCCACUGCUGCUGCUCCAGCUGAGGAGAAGAAAAUGGAAGCAAAGAAAGAAGAAUUUGAGGACUCUGAUGAUGACAUGGGCUUUGGUCUUUCUGACUAAACCUCUUUUAUAAUAUAUUCGAUCAAAAGCUGAACUUAGUGGUAAAACCAUGUCUCUACUAAAAAUAAAAAAAUUAGCCGGGCAUGGUGGCGCAUGCCUGUAAUCCCAGCUCCUAAAAAAAAAAAAAAAAAAAAAAAAAAAAAAAAAAAAAGCUGAACUUAAAAAGAAAAGGGAAAGAAAGAAAAUUGCCUGAAAGGAUAAACACCAAAAUGGUGAGAAAGGGAAGUAGAAUUAGGGAGGACCUGGUGAGUGGGAAAAUUUUCAUUUAUUAUCUGCAUACGUCAAUAUUGUUCAAAUUUUUACUUUAAGAAGACCUUACUUUUGCCGGGCAUGGUGGCUCACGCCUGUAAUCCCAGCACUUUGGGAGGCCAAGGUGGGCGGAUCACCUGAGGUCAGGAGUUCGAGACCAGCCUGACCAACAUGGAGAAACCCUGUCUCUACAUUUAAAAAAAAAUCUUAAAAAAAAAUUCUAAAAUGCAACAGAUUUUUUUUUUUUUUCCGUCCCGGGUUCAUGCCAUUCUCCUGCCUCAGCCUCCCGAGUAGCUGGGACUACAGGCACCCGUCACCACACCCAGCUAAUUUUUUGUAUUUUUAGUAGAGACAGGGUUUCACCAUGUUAGCCAGGAUGGUCUCGAUCUCCUGACGUCGUGAUCCACCCACCUCGGCCUCCCAAAGUGCUGGGAUUACAGGCAUGAGCCAAAGCGAUCGGCCAAAUGCAACAGAUUUUUUUGUUUUGUUUUUGUUUUUGUUUUCAGAUGGAGUCUCACCCAGCCUGGAGUACAGUAGUAUGAUCUGCAACCUUUGCCUCCCAGGUUCAGGCGAUUCUCCUGUCUCAGCCUCCGGAGUAUCUGGGAUUACAGGCACGUGCCACCACGCCCGGCUAAUUUUUUGUAUUUUUAGUAGAGAUGGGUUUCACCGUGUUAGCCAGGAUGGUCUCGAACUCCUGACCUCGUGAUCUACCCGCCUUGGCCUCCCAAAGUGCUGGGAUUACAGGCAUGAGCUACCGUGCUCGGCCAUGCCUGGCUAAUUUAUAUAUACAUAUAUAUAUAUAUAUAUAUUUUUUUUUUUUUUUUUUUUUUUUUGAGACAGAGUCUUGCUCUGUCACCCAGGUUGGAGUGCAGUGGCAUGAUCUCGGCUCACUGCAAGCUCGCCUCCCAGGUUCACGCCAUUCUCCUGCCUCAGCCUCCUGAGUAGCUGGGACUACAGGCGCCCGCAUGACGCCCGGCUAAUUUUUUGUAUUUUUAGUAGAGACGGGGUUUCACUGUGUUAGCCAGGAUGGUCUCGAUCUCCUGACCUCGUGAUCUGCCCACCUCAGCCUCCGAAAGUGCUGGGAUUACAGACAUGAGCCACCGCACCCAGCCUUAUAUAUAUAUUUUUUAUUAGUGAAGAGGUUUCGCCAUAUUGGCCAGACUGGUCUCGAACUCCUGACCUCAGGUGAUCCACCCACCUCGGCCUCCCAAAGUGCUGGGAUUACAGGUGGGAGCCACCGCACCCUGCCUAAAAUGCAAAAGAUUUUGAAUGGCGAGAAUGGCGACAUGAUGCCACAAGUGGAAAAUUCCACACCUGGCUGCAUGUAAUGGGUUGAAGUCAAAAUGCAGUCAAAAACUUUGUUUCAUGUACAAAAUUAUUAAAAACAUUGUAUAAAAUCACCUUCAGACUAUGUGUAUGUGAAACCUAAGUGAAUUUAAUGGCUAGACUUCAGUUGCAUUCCCAAGAUCUCUCAUUAUGUAUAUGCAAAUAUUUUGAAAUUCAACCUGGUUCCACACAUUUUAGAUAAGGGAUACUCAAGCUGUAAUUAACAAAUAAACUUUUCACAGUCCAAGCAGCCAAAGGCCCACUGUCCCUGUUCCCUCAGCUCACGCCCCCUUCCGUGCACAGCCUUAUCUAAUCCUUCUACCCUUCGUUGUGUUUGGACUUCAGACUCUUUUUUUUUAAGACAAAGUCCCGCUCUGUUGCCCAGGCUGGAGUGCAGUGGCGCGAUCUCAGCUCAACCUCUGCCCCCAGGUUCAAGCAAUUCUCAUGUCUCAGCCUCCCGAGUAGCUGGGAUUACAGACACCCGUCACCACGGCUGGCUAAUUUUUGUAUUUUUAAUGGAGACGGGGUUUCACCAUGUUGGCCAGGCUGGUCUCAAACUCCUGACCUCAGGUGAUCCGCCCCCAUCAGCCUCCCAGGGUUUUGGGAUUACAGGCGUGAGCCACUGCGUUCGGUCUGGACUUCAGAUUCUUGAGCUGGCUGCAAGACUCCAGGUCCCCUGUGAACCACACUCAAUAAUCCCUCCCUAAUCGCUGGUCCCCAGCAGCUCAGAUUGGCUGCUGUUUGUCCAGUGAGGAGGUGGGCAAGGGUGCCCUUGGUUUAUGCCCAUGAUAAAAAGAAAAGCAGCUAUGGUGCAGUAGAUGCUCAGAACUCCAGCGCGCAUCAGCCUCUAGAGAGGGGCCUGGCCUCUGCUUGAACAGUGUAUUUCUUUCUCUCCUUCCUGGACAUACUGCAAUCAAAGCAUUUUCUAAGAGUCGGGUGGGACUCCACAGAUGGUCUUGUCCAAUAGCCUCACUUUGCAGGUGAGAACAAUGCAUCCAGGCCAAGCGUUUUUUCAUUUUACUGCCCGCUACUCUCCAAGUGCAGUCUCUUAACAGUUUCUGAGUCUGAAUGCAACUCUUGUUAACUGCUCAGUAAAGGAAUUCUGUCAGGAAAGCUGCAGUUUACAUCAGUGGUUCUCAGCCUUGAUGACACAUUGAAAUCAUCUGGGGAGAUUUACAAGCUACUGACACCUGGGUCCUGCUCCUAGCGGUUCUGAUUUAUUUUUGUUUGUUUGUUUGUUUUUGGAGUUUCACUCUUGUUGCCCAGGCUGGAGUGCAAUGGUGCCAUCUCGGCUCACUGCAACCUCCGCUUCCCGGGUUCAAGCGAUUCUCUUGCCUCAGCCUCCUGAGUAGCUGGGAUUACAGGCGCCCACCACCAUGCCUGGCUAAGUUUUUGUAUUUUUAGUAGAGACAGGGUUUCACCAUGUUGGCCUGGCUGGCCAGGCCAGUCUCGAACUCCUGAACUCAGGUGAUCCACCCGCCUGAGCUUCCCAAAGUGCUAGGAUUACAGGCAUGAGCCACCGCACCAAGGCUACUGAUUUAUUUUAAUUAGGGUGCAGCAUGAGCACUGGGAUUUUUUUACUCCCCAGGUAUUCCCAAUAUGCAGCCAUAAUUGAGAACCACUAGUCAAUAUGGAGUGUGUGUGUGUGUGUGUGUGUGUGUGUGUGUGUGUGUGUGUACAUUUCUAGGUAUGGGUGAUAUUUGCAUGCAGCACGUAUCUGUGCACAUAGACACAUACACACACGGAAAUCUGGACUUCCCAAUACACAGAGUAAUACAUGCUGAGGUCACCAGCAAAGCAGGACAAUAAAGAAAGUGAGAAAAAAUUUUGAGAGCCAGACACGGUGGCUCAUGCCUGUAAUCCCAGCUUUCAGGGAGGCAGAGGCAGGAAGAUAGCUUGAUCCCAGGAGUUCAAGAUCUACCUGGGCGAUAUAGCGAGACCCCGUUCUCCACAAAAAGGAAAAAAAAACAAAGAAAAAGUUUUUAGAACAUGAUAUUUAAGAAACAAAAAAGUCAUCAUGGAGAAAAUAACAUUUUUUUUUUUUUUUUGAGACAGAGUCUCACUCUGUUGCCCAGGCUGGAGUGCAGUGACGCGAUCUCGGCUCACUGCAACCUCUGCCUCCCGGGUUCAAGUGAUUCUCCUGCUUCAGCCUCUCGAGUAGCUGGGAUUACAGGCACGUGCCACCAUGCCUAGCUAAUUUUUGUAUUUUCAGUAGAUGGGGUUUCACCAUGUUGGCUGGGCUGAUCUCGAACUGCUGACCUCAAGUGAUCUGCCUGCCUCACCCUCCCAAAUGUUGGGAUUACAGGUGUGAGCCACUGUGCCCGGCUAAAAAUCACAUUCUUUAUUG
rnacentral:lncRNA from 1 species